rnacentral:rRNA from 1 species
GACGUAGGGGGCGAGCGUUGUCCGGAUUUAUUGGGCGUAAAGCGCGCGUAGGCGGCUCGGAAAGUCGGAUGUGAAAAUCCGGGGCUCAACCCCGGACCUGCAUCCGAUACUCCCGGGCUGGAGGCAGGUAGGGGAGAUCGGAAUUCCUGGUGUAGCGGUGAAAUGCGCAGAUAUCAGGAGGAACACCGGUGGCGAAGGCGGAUCUCUGGGCCUUACCUGACGCUGAGGCGCGAAAGCUAGGGGAGCGAACAGG